rnacentral:lncRNA from 1 species
UGGAAAUUCAGUAACAGAAUCAACAGAAAAUAAAGGUAGUAUUUGUGGAUGAUCUAUUUUGAAAUGAACUUGGACUUAAAUUGUAAUUUCGUUUUAGGUUAGUUUCGAAGUCAAUUUGAGAAUCAGUUGAUAGUGGAAUUUCAAUUGAUUUUAAAGUUAGUAUUAUUUUGCAUAUUCUGCAGAAUGUUGUUAGCUUAGCAGGGCAAUGUUUGUGUUAAUUUUUUUCCUGACAAAUUAUUGGUCUCGUUCUGGUGUAGCAGUAGGGCAUUAUCCUCAUGCUAACUUGUUUUCUUUUUUUUGCUUGGAAUUGAAUACAUGGUGAAACUCAUAUUGCCGUGCAUGGAUGAUUUUGCAGGUUGGAGAUGGCUUGGAUUGCCUUUGAAGAAGAUGGCCAUGGGAAAUUGUGGUUGAAAAUUGGAUGUUAAUGCUUAUGAGCUUAGAUUAAAAAUUAGAACUUUUAGGUCACAUGUUAGUUUAGGUUCAUUUUUGGAAUGUUCAUUUGUAAUGUGCAAUGAGUUUAUCAUGGAAACUAUGUAUUAAGAUGAACUUAUGGUUCAUGAUUAUGUAUGUGGACCAUUUUCUGAUAUGAUAUAAGUGUAUAGCAN